rnacentral:rRNA from 1 species
UACGAGGGGGGCGAGCGUUGUUCGGAAUUAUUGGGCGUAAAGGGCACGUAGGCGGUUAUAUAAGUCAGAUGUGAAAUCCCCGGGCUUAACCUGGGAACUGCAUUUGAAACUAUAUGACUAGAGUAGGAUAGAGGAAAGCGGAAUUUCCGGUGUAGCGGUGAAAUGCGUAGAGAUCGGAAGGAACACCAGUGGCGAAGGCGGCUUUCUGGAUUCAUACUGACGCUGAGGUGCGAAAGCGUGGGGAGCAAACAGG